GGAUGCGAUCAUACCAGCACUAAAGCACCGGAUCCCACCAGAACUCCGAAGUUAAGCGUGCUUGGGCGAGAGUAGUACUAGGAUGGGUGACCUCCUGGGAAGUCCUCGUGUUGCAUUCC
rnacentral:rRNA from 3 species